UGCAGUCGAACGCGAAAGUCCCGCAAGGGAUAAGUAGAGUGGCAAACGGGUGAGUAACACGUGGGUGACCUGCCUUCGAGCGGGGGAUAACGUCCCGAAAGGGACGCUAAUACCGCAUAACAUCCUGCCUUUUAAGAGGUGGAGAUCAAAGCCGGGGAUUCGCAAGAACCUGGCACUUGAAGAGGGGCCCGCGCCUGAUUAGCUAGUUGGUGGGGUAAUGGCUCACCAAGGCAACGAUCAGUAUCCGGCCUGAGAGGGCGGACGGACACACUGGGACUGAGACACGGCCCAGACUCCUACGGGAGGCAGCAGUGGGGAAUUGUUCGCAAUGGGCGCAAGCCUGACGACGCAACGCCGCGUGGAGGAUGAAGACCUUCGGGUCGUAAACUCCUUUCGAUCGAGACGAAUGGUUUUCGGGUGAACAAUCCGGAAAAGUGACGGUACCGAGAGAAGAAGCCCCGGCUAACUCCGUGCCAGCAGCCGCGGUAAUACGGGGGGGGCAAGCGUUGUUCGGAAUUACUGGGCGUAAAGGGCUCGUAGGUGGCCAACUAAGUCAGACGUGAAAUCCCUCAGCUUAACUGGGGAACUGCGUCUGAUACUGGAUGGCUUGAGUUUGGGAGAGGGAUGCGGAAUUCCAGGUGUAGCGGUGAAAUGCGUAGAUAUCUGGAGGAACACCGGUGGCGAAGGCGGCAUCCUGGACCAACACUGACACUGAGGAGCGAAAGCCAGGGGAGCAAACGGGAUUAGAUACCCCGGUAGUCCUGGCCCUAAACGAUGAAUGCUUGGUGUGGCGGGUAUCGAUCCCUGCCG
rnacentral:rRNA from 1 species